UACGGGGGGGGCAAGCGUUGUUCGGAAUUACUGGGCGUAAAGGGCUCGUAGGCGGCCAACUAAGUCAGACGUGAAAUCCCUCGGCUUAACCGGGGAACUGCGUCUGAUACUGGACGGCUUGAGUUUAGGAGAGGGACGCGGAAUUCCAGGUGUAGCGGUGAAAUGCGUAGAUAUCUGGAGGAACACCGGUGGCGAAGGCGGCGUCCUGGACCAACACUGACACUGAGACGCGAAAGCGUGGGUAGCAAACAGG
rnacentral:rRNA from 1 species